AGUUGCUUCUCCAAGCUUCCAUCCAGAUGUUUAUUUCCCAGGUUGCAAUAGGAGCAAUCUUGGUAACCCACCUGAAGGCGACAGGGUCAUUGGACAAGGUGUUGGCAGCUGUGGUGGUGG